GCACGCUCGUUCUCUCGCGUACCGAAAUGGCCAGCCAAGGAUCACUGGACCCGGAGACAGCGAUCGAGUAACGACCCAAAGGCUCCUCGAGUCGCCUACUUAUUACAGCUGCGUAUACACGCACAGAUCAUAAGCCAUUCGGUGCGAGCGAGAGCGUGGUGGGCGAGCGAACGAGAAGGCCGGCCAGCAGCUCGGGAUGGGCUGGUUCGCAGUGGCGACGACGCUGUCCUUGCUUCUUCUGGCGGCGCGGCUCGCCGCGGCGGCGGGAAACCGGCCGCCGCCGCCUCACCGGAUCCUGGUGGACACGGACAUCGACACCGACGACCUCUUCGCCAUCCUCUACCUCCUCAAGCACGACCGCGCCGAGUUCGACGUCAAGGUACGUAAUACUCCUACGUACUCCUACUACUCGCGCCAUUGCAUGUAUAAUGUAUAGUUGCAUUGCAUCCAUCGCACUGACCCAUGGCUAAUGGCUGCCGCUGCAUGCCCGUGCGCCCAUGAGCACACCCAAGAGAAGAGAUCCCGCUCCCUCGUCAUUGAGCGCGUGCUUUUCUAUUACUAGUAGUAGUAGUAUAUACUCCACUUUCGUGGAUUCUUCUGCGCAUUCUUUCGUCUGCUUCUAUGGAUGGCUUUUCUUUUCUCCCCUGGGUGCGGUGAUUUGGACGGCAAUAGUGAAUAGUGGCGGGGGAACAUGGCAGAGACGCGCGCGCUUUUUGUUCUUUUCCCGUGCG
rnacentral:lncRNA from 1 species